rnacentral:rRNA from 1 species
CAUAACAGCCAUAUCACCCUGCAGCCCAAGACUGGUUGCCCACUGAAGCUAAGCAGGGUUGAGCCUGGUCAGUACCUGGAUGGGAGACCUCCCGGGAAAACUAGGUUGCUGUUGGAA